rnacentral:misc_RNA from 1 species
GAUGAAGAACGCAGCGAAAUGCGAUACGUAAUGUGAAUUGCAGAAUUCAGUGAAUCAUCGAAUCUUUGAACGCAUAUUGCGCUCUCUGGUAUUCCGGAGAGCAUGCUUGUUUGAGUAUCAGUAAACACCUCAACUUCCAUAUCUUUUUUGAAAUGGGAGUUGGACUUGAGUGAUCCCAACGCUUUUCCUCACCGAAAAGUGGCGGGUUACUUGAAAUGCAGGUGCAGCUGGACUUUUCUCUGAGCUAUAAGCAUAUCUAUUUAGUCUGCCUAAAAACAGAUUAUUACCUUUGCUGCAGCUAACAUAAAGGAGAUUAGUUCUUGUGCUGACUGAUGCAGGAUUCACAAAGACGGCUUCGGCCGACUUUGUAAACUCGAUCUCAAAUCAAGUAAGACUACCCGCUGAACUUAAGCAUAUCAAUAAGCGGAGGA